GAAGAAAAGCCUCACAGCAGAAGCUGGGGCUGCUGCUCAUCUCUGGAGGGAAGAAGUAGGGGACAGGGAAGAGAUAGAGUGGUGGGCACAGUGGCAAAGCCAGCAGGCCGGCCAGUCUGGAUGGAGGAGGCUACAAGCCAAAAACUUGGAAUCUGGAAGGCUCCUCCUAUGUGACCUGAGUGUCACCAUGUCUGUUCUUGGAGGUUGCUGUGAAGUAAUGCUGGGCCUGCUGGAGGCCAGUUCAUCUUCUCAUGGUGGAACCGACUGUCUCCUCCCUCUGGGCUCUUGUCCUGAGGAUGCUGAAGAAUAAAGUCCAGGGAUGCAGCAGUGGGGAAUGAACUAUGUGUGGUUUAUCAGAAAGAACAAGGAAAAUCCCUUGCUAACCAAGAAGGGCUCCAAGAGAGGGUACUGAGAGGUGCCCAAGUUUAGGUAGGGGUUUAUCUACACUUUGUUGGACUAUCUUGGAAAUAAGGAAACAGUGUGAUUGCAGCUUUUGGCCAGGCUUCUGGCAUCAGGAGGAGGAGACUUCCCUUGCACCCCAGCUUCCCAGGGCUCAUCUCAUUUUACCCAGGCCCUUGUCCUUUGAAAAAAUACGGUUGCCAAUGUGAUUGAUGUUUGAAUAGCGACCCUCCUUUUCUUUGUGUUUUAAUUUUUCCAGGGCCCAUUUUGGUUUGUUUGAGGCUCCAGCCUAGAUGCCUGCUGUUUGUCUGUCUCACAAGUCUCACUGGGAAGCAUCUGCUUGAGGAUUCAGGCAACACAGAAAAAAAUAGAGAUGGAGGGAGACAACUUUGAAUGAUGUUGCAUGAACACCUGGCUCUAACUGUGCCUGAAGUAGGACAGAGCCCUGAGCUUCCCAA
rnacentral:lncRNA from 1 species